rnacentral:rRNA from 1 species
UAACACAUCGGAACGUACCCUAUCGUGGGGGAUAACGAAUCGAAAGAUUCGCUAAUACCGCAUACGACCUGAGGGUGAAAGCGGGGGAUCGCAAGACCUCGCGCGAUUGGAGCGGCCGAUGUCGGAUUAGCUAGUUGGUGAGGUAAAGGCUCACCAAGGCGACGAUCCGUAGCUGGUCUGAGAGGACGACCAGCCACACCGGGACUGAGACACGGCCCAGACUCCUACGGGAGGCAGCAGUGGGGAAUUUUGGACAAUGGGGGCAACCCUGAUCCAGCCAUUCCGCGUGAGUGAAGAAGGCCUUCGGGUUGUAAAGCUCUUUCGGCAGGAACGAAACGGUGCAGGUUAAUACCCUGUAUCAAUGACGGUACCUGAAGAAGAAGCACCGGCUAACUACGUGCCAGCAGCCGCGGUAAUACGUAGGGUGCGAGCGUUAAUCGGAAUUACUAGGCGUAAAGCGUGCGCAGGCGGCUUUGUAAGACAGGUGUGAAAUCCCCGGGCUUAACCUGGGAACUGCGCUUGUGACUGCAAGGCUUGAGUGCGGCAGAGGGGGGUGGAAUUCCACGUGUAGCAGUGAAAUGCGUAGAGAUGUGGAGGAACACCGAUGGCGAAGGCAGCCCCCUGGGUCGACACUGACGCUCAUGCACGAAAGCGUGGGUAGCAAACAGGAUUAGAUACCCUGGUAGUCCACGCCCUAAACGAUGCCAACUAGGUGUUGGGGAAGGAGACUUCCUUAGUACCGUAGCUAACGCGUGAA